rnacentral:lncRNA from 1 species
GAAUUUUAGUUUUCAUAAAAAAUAUAUAGGGAAACUAGUUUCUGUGGCUUAGGUUUCCUAUUUUAUUUGAAAACACAAAGCUAAUACAAGUUAUAGAUUUUCUCAACAAAAAAAAAAAACUAAAAUCUGAAAAUUAAAACCAAAAAACACAUGGGAAAAAAAGAAAGGAAAAGAAGGUCUAAUCUUCCACCUGUCUAGUCCUCCACCAGUCGAAGAAGGUGUAAGCAAAGCCGACCAUUAAAAACACAAUCACCACAUUCGACAGAGGGUAACCAAAGACGCCACCUGUGUAAUAGAAUGGAACUGGUAGCUUCACUCCGAAAAAGAUGCAGUACAACAUCGGUGCAAUGUAUAUGCAAUCAUACUUAUGGUAAUCAUUCUAUCCAUCUGGAUCAGUACCUUGAGUCGUUUCCUUAAGUCUUCUGCGUCGUAAGUAUUCUCCCACUCCUGCAAUUUUUUGUUUGUUUGUUGAAACAUAUAUUCGUUACAGUUGAGCCUAUAGGGUUAGGAAUUAUCCACUAAUUUCUGUUUUACUAAACUUCCAAGCAAAGACCUCAUGAGUACUAUCUCAAGAACUAGUGACGAAAGAUAUGUUUUGCAGGUAACCUAAAGAAAAUUAAAGAACUCAUUGAGUCUCCCAAGACAUAAAGAAUCCACUUGAUCAAGAAACGGGCAUCUAAUAAUAAGAGUAAAACAAAGAGAGAAGAAACCAAACCGUAUCCUCAUCGUCAUCGGAAAGUAAGGGUAGAUGAAGCGUCUCUGUAUCUGCAUCCAUACCAACAAACUCAGGAGACCCCAUGAGUAAUUAAGCGUC